GCUCCACCCAACUGAUUACUGAAAUUUUAGGGUUUUUCCUCUGGACUGUAAUUUGGGAGCGCACCAGUGGUAUCUUUUGGGGGUACAAAGUGGACGUUGAAAUGGAGGCUUCUCCUAGCUACUUCGAUCCCGAAGAUCUCACUUCCAGAGAACAGUUUCGCCGUUACGGGAAAAGGCACUCAACUUCAAGUGUAUCACCGNNNNNNNNNCUUCAGUGUCCAAGUUUAAGGAAUCCAGGCUAUUGUAUGAGGGGCAGAGUAUCCACAGCCCA
rnacentral:misc_RNA from 1 species